CAACAAAAAGAAAGAUAUGGCUGACCAUGCUGGGUAUGGUGAAGCCUAUGAGAGCUCUUCUAAAAGUUCAAGCUCAAGCAGGAGCAAGAAAUCAGAUGCAGCAGAGCAUGCGGGUUAUGGUGAAACCUAUAAGAGCUCUUCUAAAGCUUCAAAGUCAGGAAAGAAGAGCAAUAAAUCAGCCGUCGGAGACUUGGCUGGUUAUGGUGAUGGUUAAAGGUGAAUUGUUAUAGCCUAUUCAUAUGUCAGGUUUAAAGUUGAUGGGCGACUAAUGCUUGGGGGAAUAUCAAAUUCCAUGAAGUCUUUUAUUUUCUUUUUCCUUGUGGCUUAUUUUCAUGUACUGUUUCUUUUCCAAUUUAGAGUCACAGAUUACCGCUAAUAAAAUGCUUGUAAGUUAUAUUUUCUAUGCUAAUAAAAUAAUAGUUCAAAAAAUA